GGACAAGCUUCAUGUGUUCCUUCCAAAAAGGAGGGAGCUACGCUCUUCUGGUCAGGUUGUAGAGCUGAAAAAGUUUGAUGCUGCUAUAUUUUCUCCAUUUUGGAAUGAAAUAAUAAGAAAUUUGCGGGAGGAGGAUUACAUUAGCAAUUUCGAGUUGGAUUUACUGCUUAUGCCAAAAAAUUCUGGAAUUCUCCCUUUAGUCCAGUGGCCUCUUUUUCUUCUUGCAAGCAAGAUAUUUCUGGCUAAAGAUAUUGCGUUGGAAAGCAAGGAUUCACAAGACGAGCUUUGGGAUAGAAUUUUGAGGGACGAUUACAUGAAGUAUGCUGUCGAGGAGUGUUUCCACAGUAUUAGGAUUAUCUUGACCUCUAUACUCGACAAG
rnacentral:misc_RNA from 1 species